rnacentral:ncRNA from 1 species
GAGAGCCGGAUGCGAUUAAUGUCGCACGUCCGGUUCGGUGGGGUGCCGUCGGAAAAGGGCCUGAUCACGGGCACCUCGCUGGCGGCCUACCCAAC